rnacentral:rRNA from 1 species
CAGAGGUCUCAAGCGUUGUUCGGAUUCAUUGGGCGUAAAGGGAGCGUAGGUGCGGGGUUAGUCAGGUGUGAAAUCUCGGGGCUCAACCCCGAAACUGCACUUGAUACUGCCUUGCUAGAGUACUGGAGAGGAGAUUGGAAUUUACGGUGUAGCAGUGAAAUGCGUAGAUAUCGUAAGGAAGACCAGUGGCGAAGGCGAAUCUCUGGACAGUUACUGACACUGAGGCUCGAAGGCCAGGGGAGCAAACGGGAUUAGAUACCCCGGUAGUCCUGGCAGUAAACGGUGCGCGUUUGGUGUGGGAGGAUUCGACCCCUUCUGUGCCGGAGCUAACGCGUUAAACGCGCCGCCUGGGGAGUACGGUCGCAAGAUUA